rnacentral:rRNA from 1 species
AACGAACGCUGGCGGCAGGCCUAACACAUGCAAGUCGAGCGCGCCCUUCGGGGUGAGCGGCGGACGGGUUAGUAACGCGUGGGAACGUGCCCUUCUCUACGGAAUAGUCCCGGGAAACUGGGGGUAAUACCGUAUACGCCCUAUGGGGGAAAGAUUUAUCGGAGAAGGAUCGGCCCGCGUCUGAUUAGGUAGUGGGUGGGGUAAUGGCCUACCAAGCCUACGAUCAGUAGCUGGUUUGAGAGGAUGAUCAGCAACACUGGGACUGAGACACGGCCCCGACUCCUACGGGAGGCAGCAGUGGGGAAUCUUAGACAAUGGGCGCAAGCCUGAUCUAGCCAUGCCGCGUGAGUGACGAAGGCCUUAGGGUCGUAAAGCUCUUUCGCUGGGGAAGAUAAUGACUGUACCCAGUAAGGAAACCCCGGCUAACUCCGUGCCAGCAGCCGCCGUAAGAC